rnacentral:tmRNA from 1 species
AUCCCCCUCUUGCCGGUUCCGCAUGGGGUGGUCGAAAAAUACCGAACCGGAAACGCACGUAGUCUUUUUGCGAUUGACUUUCUCGGACGCGGGUUCAACUCCCGCCGCCUCCACCA